rnacentral:rRNA from 1 species
UGAGAGGACGACCAGCCACACUGGGACUGAGACACGGCCCAGACUCCUACCGGAGGCAGCAGUGGGGAAUUUUGGACAAUGGGCGCAAGCCUGAUCCAGCAAUGCCGCGUGCAGGAAGAAGGCCUUCGGGUUUGUAAACUGCUUUUGUACGGAACGAAACGGCUCUGGUUAAUACCCGGGGCUAAUGACGGUACCGUAAGAAUAAGCGCCGGCUAACUACGUGCCAGCAGCCGCGGUAAUACGUAGGGUGCAAGCGUUAAUCGGAAUUACUGGGCGUAAAGCGUGCGCAGGCGGUUGUGUAAGACAGGCGUGAAAUCCCCGGGCUCAACCUGGGAAUUGCGCUUGUGACUGCACGGCUGGAGUGCGGCAGAGGGGGAUGGAAUUCCGCGUGUAGCAGUGAAAUGCGUAGAUAUGCGGAGGAACACCGAUGGCGAAGGCAAUCCCCUGGGCCUGCACUGACGCUCAUGCACGAAAGCGUGGGGAGCAAACAGGAUUAGAUACCCUGGUAGUCCACGCCCUAAACGAUGUCAACUGGUUGUUGGGUCUCUUCUGACUCAGUAACGAAGCUAACGCGUGAAGUUGACCGCCUGGGGAGUACGGCCGCAAGGUUGAAACUCAAAGGCAUUGACGGGGACCCGCACAAGCGGUGGAUGAUGUGGUUUAAUUCGAUGCAACGCGAAAAACCUUACCCACUUUUGACAUGGCAGGAAGUUUCCAGAGAUGGAUUCGUGCUCGAAAGAGAACCUGCACACAGGUGCUGCAUGGCUGUCGUCAGCUCGUGUCGUGAGAUGUUGGGUUAAGUCCCGCAACGAGCGCAACCCUUGCCAUUAGUUGUCUACGAAAGGGCACUCUAAUGGGACUGCCGGUGACAAACCGGAGGAAGGUGGGGAUGACGUCAAGUCCUCAUGGCCCUUAUAGGUGGGGCUACACACGUCAUACAAUGGCCGGUACAAAGGGCAGCCAACCCGCGAGGGGGAGCCAAUCCCAUAAAGCCGGUCGUAGUCCGGAUCGCAGUCUGCAACUCGACUGCGUGAAGUCGGAAUCGCUAGUAAUCGUGGAUCAGCAUGUCACGGUGAAUACGUUCCCGGGUCUUGUACACACCGCCCGUCACACCAUGGGAGCGGGUCUCGCCAGAAGUAGUUAGCCUAACCGCAAGGGGGGCGAUUACCACGGCGGGG